UUAAUUCGAAGCAACGCGCAGAACCUUACCAGCGUUUGACAUCCUCAUCGCGAUUUCCAGAGAUGGAUUUCUUCAGUUCGGCUGGAUGAGUGACAGGUGCUGCAUGGCUGUCGUCAGCUCGUGUCGUGAGAUGUUGGGUUAAGUCCCGCAACGAGCGCAACCCUCGCCUUUAGUUGCCAGCAUUUAGUUGGGUACUCUAAAGGAACCGCCGGUGAUAAGCCGGAGGAAGGUGGGGAUGACGUCAAGUCCUCAUGGCCCUUACGCGCUGGGCUACACACGUGCUACAAUGGCGACUACAGUGGGCAGCGACCUCGCGAGGGGAAGCUAAUCUCCAAAAGUCGUCUCAGUUCGGAUUGUUCUCUGCAACUCGAGAGCAUGAAGGCGGAAUCGCUAGUAAUCGCGGAUCAGCAUGCCGCGGUGAAUACGUUCCCAGGCCUUGUACACACCGCC
rnacentral:rRNA from 1 species